AAGCCUGAUCCAGCAAUGCCGCGUGUGUGAAGAAGGCCUUCGGGUUGUAAAGCACUUUUGUCCGGAAAGAAAUCCUUGGUCCUAAUAUGGCCGGGGGAUGACGGUACCGGAAGAAUAAGCACCGGCUAACUACGUGCCAGCAGCCGCGGUAAUACGUAGGGUGCAAGCGUUAAUCGGAAUUACUGGGCGUAAAGCGUGCGCAGGCGGUUUGCUAAGACCGAUGUGAAAUCCCCGGGCUCAACCUGGGAACUGCAUUGGUGACUGGCAGGCUAGAGUAUGGCAGAGGGGGGUAGAAUUCCACGUGUAGCAGUGAAAUGCGUAGAGAUGUGGAGGAAUACCGAUGGCGAAGGCAGCCCCCUGGGCCAAUACUGACGCUCAUGCACGAAAGCGUGGGGAGCAAACAGGAUUAGAUACCCUGGUAGUCCACGCCCUAAACGAUGUCAACUAGUUGUUGGGGAUUCAUUUCCUUAGUAACGUAGCUAACGCGUGAAGUUGACCGCCUGGGGAGUACGGUCGCAAGAUUAAAACUCAAGAAAUUUUGACGGAG
rnacentral:rRNA from 1 species